UUAAGUGAAGAGUUUGAUCCUGGCUCAGAGUGAACGCUGGCGGCAGGCCUAACACAUGCAAGUCGAACGGCAGCACAGUAAGAGCUUGCUCUUACGGGUGGCGAGUGGCGGA
rnacentral:rRNA from 1 species